GAUGAACGCUGGCGGCGUGCCUAAUACAUGCAAGUCGAGCGAACAGACGAGGAGCUUGCUCCUCUGACGUUAGCGGCGGACGGGUGAGUAACACGGGGAUAACCUACCUAUUAGACUGGGAUAACUUCGGGAAACCGGAGCUACUACAGGAUACUAUAUUGAACCACAUGGGUCCAGAGUGAAAUACGGUUUUGCUGUGACUUCUAGAUGGAUCCGCUCCGCAUUAGCUUGUUGGUCAGGUAAAGGGUUACCAAGGAAACGAUGCGUAGGCGAGCUGAGAGGGUGAUCGGCCACACUGGAACUGAGAAACGGUCCAGACUCCUACGGGAGGCAGCAGGAGGGAAUCUUUCGCAAUGGGCGAAAGCCUGACGGAGCAAAGCCGCGUGAGGGAAGAAGGUCUUCGGAGCGUAAAACUCUGUUAUUAGGGAAGAACAAAUGUGUAAGUAACUACGGACGUCUUGACGGUACCUAAUGAGAAAGCACCGGCUAACUACGUG
rnacentral:rRNA from 1 species